ACGGGUGAGUAACGCGUGGGAACGUACCUUUUGGUUCGGAACAACUGAGGCAGACUUGAGCUAAUACCGGAUAAGCCCUUACGGGGAAAGAUUUAUCGCCGAAAGAUCGGCCCGCGUCUGAUUAGCUUGUUGGUGAGGUAAUGGCUCACCAAGGCGACGAUCAGUAGCUGGUCUGAGAGGAUGAUCAGCCGCAUUGGGACUGAGACACGGCCCAAACUCCUACGGGAGGCAGCAGUGGGGAAUAUUGGACAAUGGGGGCAACCCUGAUCCAGCCAUGCCGCGUGAGUGAUGAAGGCCCUAGGGUUGUAAAGCUCUUUUGUGCGGGAAGAUAAUGACGGUACCGCAAGAAUAAGCCCCGGCUAACUUCGUGCCAGCAGCCGCGGUAAUACGAAGGGGGCUAGCGUUGCUCGGAAUCACUGGGCGUAAAGGGUGCGUACGCGGGUCUUUAAGUCAGGGGUGAAAUCCUGGAGCUCAACUCCAGAACUGCCUUUGAUACUGAGGAUCUUGAGUUCUGGAAAGGUGAGUGGAACUGCUAGUGUAGAGGUGAAAUUCGUAGAUAUUCACAAGAACACCAGUGGCAAAAGCGGCUCAUUGGCCCGAUACUGACGCUGAGGCACGAGAGCGUGGGGAGCACACAGGAUUAGAUACCCUGGUAGUUCACGCCGUAAACGAUGAAUGCCAGCCGUUAGUGGGUUUACUCACUAGUGGCGCAGCUAACGCUUUAAGCAUUCCGCCUGGGGAGUACGGUCGCAAGAUUGAAACUCAAAGGAAUUGACGGGGGCCCGCACAAGCGGUGGAGCAUGUGGUUUAAUUCGACGCAACGCGCAGAACCUUACCAGCCCUUGACAUCUCCAGAACAGUUUGCAGAGAUGGCCUUUUCUUUUUGGGGCCAAAAGCACAGGUGGUGCAUGGUUGUCGUCAGCUCGUGUCUUGAGAUGUUGGGUUAAGUCCCGCAACGAGCGCAACCCCCCUCUUUAGUUGCCAUCAUUUAGUUGAGCACUCUAAGGAGACUGCCGGUGAUAAACCGCGGGAAGGGGGGGGGGAAGUCCAAUUCUCCUGGGCCCCUUGAGGGGGGGGUCCACACGGGUUCCAAAGGCGGUGCCAAGGGGAGGUUAACGGGGGACCCCUUUCAAAUCUCAAAAAACGCUCUCAGUUCGGAUUGUGGUCUGCAACUCGAGCCCAUGAAGUUGGAAUCGCUAGUAAUCGUGGAUCACCACGCCACGGUGAAUACGUUCCCGGGCCUUGUACACACCGCCCGUCACACCACG
rnacentral:rRNA from 1 species